UGGUGACUGAUUUGGAAACAAAUACCUAUUUUUCCACUGGAAAAUUUAGGAAGAAAAACUGACCGAAACAGUGUCUGUCAAGAGUUGUGCAAGAGUAGAGGAACCAGGACACAUAGGUACUUCCACUAUUUAGUGGGCUGAAAUGAAGUUCCUGAGAGCCAAGAGGACUGUGAGCAAGCUCUGACACUGUGAUGAAGAUGCGAUUGGCAUAUAAAUCUGCUCUCUCACGCCAGAGCAAGCAAUGAAAGCAGAGCAUGCACUAGACCUCCAGGUACUGUGGAAUAAAAUGUAGCAGCCACAGACCUAGAAAGGACAGAGCCUGUGUUCCUACAGGGUAUUUCCAAGGGUAUUUUCCCACUGGAGGGCAAACAAGACAACUUUGGAAAAACUGCUAUCCUUGAAUUGCACUCUUUAUGUGUUCUUGAGUGUCCUUGAGGGCUUGGGACGUGAUACUAAACCUAUUUCAACAAAUACAUGUUUUUUAUGAUGUUUUCCAAAGGGUUGUUAGGGGAAUUCAGAACAUGGGGCUCAGCCUUUGAUCUCAACAUCCUAUCAACAAGUGCUCAGAUACUGAUUUAAUAAAAUAGUUGGAAAUAAUAAUCUUUUCCUGCUUACAGCUGGGCAAGUUAAUAAUGAGCAGAUAUUGUCAGUCUAUGAAGGAUCUUGCAUUCUUUUUUCUUUUUUUUUCUGAUCCCGGGCCCGUGAGACCAAGAAUACCCGUCAUGUGCCAAAAUCCUGAGAGAGGGCUAACUGCUGAGGAUAUCGUAUGGAGCAAGCUAUUCCAGCUCAGGUGAGAGGCACAUGAAAGAAGAAUGUUCCAGCCUCAACAGACCCCAUGUGAAGCAGAUCUGCUCAACUAACCCAGACCAGUUUACAGAAUUGACUGUACACACAGCUGUCCCAAAAGACAUGGCAAGAAAAAUUGUGGAAUAAUAUUUGACCUGGAAGCUCCUAGAGUGGUCACAAGCAAGAGUGUUUGCCUCAGUAACUAUACUGACUGGCUUCUAUAUAUGUGUGUGUGUUUGUGUGUAUAAUUGUAAAGUUAAUUGAUAAUAUUAAAAAUUUACAUAAUAUUGAAAGAUAUAAUGAAAAAUAAAAAUUUUUAUAAUUCCACUCAUCCCAAAACAUGCACUGUUGAUUAACAUUUUGGCAUAUGGCCAACUAGAAAUUUUUGUGCUUAAAAAGUACUUUUUCUUUCUUCUCUCAAAUUGAGAACAUACUGUAUGUGUGGAGGACAUGUUCUAUUUUUUUUUCACAUUAAGCAUACUAUUUGAAAUGAGACCCUGAAAUCAUAAACUAGAUCCUAAUAAAUUAUGUG